GGAGAUGAUUGCUCAAGAUGAAACCUCCUACUCGAAUUCAAAAUACUCACACUUAGAGAGAAAAAGAGAAGAAGAAGAAACGGUUCGAAGAGAAGAAGAAGAAACGAGUUGCGAUUAGGGAUUGAGUUUUUUUUUAAUUUUUACAAAUUUUUUAUUAUUUUGGGUUUCUGGGUUUUAUUAAUGAGUGGGUGGAUAUAUUUGGGUUUCGGAAUGUAAUAAUACAAUUUUUAUGAGGGUAGAGUUGUAAUUGAAUGGUUUUUCGAUUUAAAAAAAAAAAACAGAAAACAAAGAAAGAAUAGAGAUUGCUUCUACCCAAAAAAUGGCUCACGAGACGAAUUCUCUUUAAAAAUGGAUACAUCAAAAAGGGUAUUUCUCAAAAAAUUUCCUAACUUAUU
rnacentral:lncRNA from 1 species